rnacentral:rRNA from 1 species
AGGCGGUUUAGAAAGUCUUUAGUGAAAUACUUCAGCUCAACUGGAGCUCCGCAAAAGAAACUUCUAGACUUGAGGGAAGUAGAGGUACAGGGAAUUUCCGGUGGAGCGGUGAAAUGCGUAGAUAUCGGAAGGAACACCAAUAUGGCGAAGGCACUGUACUGGGCUUUACCUGACGCUAAGAGACGAAAGCUAAAGGAGUGAUUAGGAUUAGAUACCCUAGUAAUUUUAGCCGUAAACGAUGGAAACUCACUGCCGAGCCGGUAUUCGGAGCGGUGGUCAAGCUAACGCGUGAAGUUUCCCGCCUGGGGAUUACGCAUGCAAAUGUGAAACUCAAAGGAAUUGACGGGGACCCGCACAAGCGGUGGAGUAUGUGGUUUAAUUCGAUGCAACGCGAAAAACCUUACCAAGGUUUGAAAUCAUUCUAAAACUCUUUGAAAGAAGAGCCUCCUUCGGGAUAGAAUGACAGGUGGUGCAUGGCUGUCGUCAGCUCGUGUUGUGGAAUGUCAAGUUAAGUCUUGUAACGAGCGCAACCCAUGUCUUUUGUUGCUGUUUACAGUGCUUAAAAGAGACUGCCGCUCUACAGCGGAGGAAGGUGUGGAUGAUGUCAAGUCAGCAUGCCCCUUAUAUCUUGGGCUACACACGUACUACAAUGGUAGGGACAAUGAGUCGCAAACCUGCGAAAGGCUAGCCAAUCUCAAAAACCCUAUCUCAGUUCGGAU